GACGAACGCUGGCGGCGUGCUUAACACAUGCAAGUCGAACGGAAAGGCCCGGCUUUUGUGUGGUGCUCGAGUGGCGAACGGGUGAGUAACACGUGAGUAACCUGCCCUUGACUUUGGGAUAACUUCAGGAAACUGGGGCUAAUACCGGAUACGAGCUCCUGCUGCAUGGUGGGGGUUGGAAAGUUUCGGCGGUUGGGGAUGGACUCGCGGCUUAUCAGCUUGUUGGUGGGGUAGUGGCUUACCAAGGCUUUGACGGGUAGCCGGCCUGAGAGGGUGACCGGCCACACUGGGACUGAGAUACGGCCCAGACUCCUACGGGAGGCAGCAGUGGGGAAUAUUGCACAAUGGGCGGAAGCCUGAUGCAGCAACGCCGCGUGAGGGAUGACGGCCUUCGGGUUGUAAACCGCUUUCGCCUGUGACGAAGCGUGAGUGACGGUAAUGGGUAAAGAAGCACCGGCUAACUACGUG
rnacentral:rRNA from 1 species